UGGGCGCGGAGGGAGGCG
rnacentral:misc_RNA from 1 species